rnacentral:rRNA from 1 species
UACAGAGGGGGCAAGCGUUGUUCGGAAUUACUGGGCGUAAAGGGCGCGUAGGCGGCCUUGUUUGUCAGGCGUGAAAGCCCCGGGCUUAACCUGGGAACUGCGUUUGAUACGGCAGGGCUAGAGUUCGGGAGAGGAGCGUGGAAUUCCCAGUGUAGAGGUGAAAUUCGUAGAUAUUGGGAAGAACACCGGUGGCGAAGGCGGCGCUCUGGACCGAGACUGACGCUGAGGCGCGAAAGCGUGGGGAGCAAACAGG